CAGCCGCCGCGGUAAUACCGAGGGUGCGAGCGUUAAUCGGAUUUACUGGGCGUAAAGCGUGCGUAGGCGGCUAAUUGAGUCGGAUGUGAAAUCCCCGAGCUUAACUUGGGAAUUGCAUUCGAUACUGGUUAGCUAGAGUGUGGGAGAGGAUGGUAGAAUUCCAGGUGUAGCGGUGAAAUGCGUAGAGAUCUGGAGGAAUACCGAUGGCGAAGGCAGCCAUCUGGCCUAACACUGACGCUGAGGUACGAAAGCAUGGGGAGCAAACAGGAUUAGAUACCCCCGUAGUCCCUGUCUCUUAUAA
rnacentral:rRNA from 1 species